rnacentral:rRNA from 1 species
UACGUAGGCAGCGAGCGUUGUUCGGAAUUACUGGGCGUAAAGGGUGUGUAGGCGGUGUUCCCAGUCUGUUGUGAAAUCUCCCGGCUUAACUGGGAGGGUGCAGCGGAAACUAGAAUGCUAGAGGGUGGGAGAGGUAAGCGGAAUUCCUGGUGUAGCGGUGAAAUGCGUAGAUAUCCGGAGGAACACCUGUGGUGUAGACGGCUCGCUGGACCGCAACUGACGCUGAGACACGAAAGCGUGGGUAGCAAACAGG